rnacentral:rRNA from 1 species
CCUACGGGUGGCAGCAGUGAGGAAUAUUGGUCAAUGGGCGCGAGCCUGAACCAGCCAAGUAGCGUGAAGGAUGACGGCCCUACGGGUUGUAAACUUCUUUUAUAAAGGAAUAAAGUGAGGCACGUGUGCCUUUUUGUAUGUACUUUAUGAAUAAGGAUCGGCUAACUCCGGGCCAGCAGCCGCGGUAAUACGGAGGAUCCGAGCGUUAUCCGGAUUUAGUGGGUUUAAAGGGAGCGUAGAUGGGUUGUUAAGUCAGUUGUGAAAGUUUGCGGCUCAACCGUAAAAUUGCCAUUGAUACGGGCAGUCUUGAGUACAUUUGCGGUAGGCGGCCUUCGUGUUGUAGCGG